rnacentral:rRNA from 1 species
AUGUCCACAUCGUCACGUUGUGCCAUCUGUGGAGAGGAGGACUCGUGGAGGCAUUCACUGAUAACGUGUACGAUGGCGCGUUGUGUAUGGGCGCUAGGUGACCCGGAGCUGGUUGAGCAUGUUAUAGCAACAGCAGAACCGAAUGCAAAGGCUUGGCUCUUCAGUAUGCAAGAAUCGAUGCCACAUGCCGAGUUCACAAAGCUAACCGUGAUACUAUGGGCCAUAUGGGGGGCGCGGCGAAAGGAAAUAAAGAAGCCCAGAACAACCCCAGUGCGGGCGCUAGUUUGGAUACCACCACCGGCGGGUCAUCACAAGGUAAAUGUCGAUGCUGCUGUUUGUAAACACCCUCCGGUGGGGGCUGUUAGCGCGGUUUGUCGGGAUCAAUCAGGAGCUUAUGCUGGUUCAGCAGCGGUGGUAUUUCAUGGUAUGACCGAUCCGCAGAUUUUGGAAGCUCUGGCAUGCCGCGAGGCUAUUGCAUUAGCCAGGGAUCUUGCACUGACUCAUUUGAGGGUGGCUUCAGAUUGCCUUGCGGUGGUCAAGGACAUACAAACUGGUACUAUGGGUACAAUUGCUCCAAUCGUGCAGGAGAUCAUCGACUCGAGCAGGGAGUUUCACUCCUGCUCUUUCACCCAUGAGAGACGUCUUUCUAACAAGGAGGAUCAUGGCUUAGCUAGACAUGCUUUACAUUUAGGGGAGGGUCGCCAUGUAUGGUUGUUACACCCUCAUGAUACUUCUAUUAUUCCUGUAAUUCGUUCUAUUGAUCAUCAAUAA